rnacentral:rRNA from 2 species
ACGGAAGGCAGCAGUGGGGAAUAUUGCACAAUGGGGGAAACCCUGAUGCAGCGACGCCGCGUGAUUGAAGAAGUAUUUCGGUAUGUAAAGAUCUAUCAGCAAGGAAGAAAAUGACGGUACUUGACUAAGAAGCCCCGGCUAACUACGUGCCAGCAGCCGCGGUAAUACGUAGGGGGCAAGCGUUAUCCGGAUUUACUGGGUGUAAAGGGAGCGUAGGCGGUUUGGCAAGCCAGAAGUGAAAACCCGGGGCUCAACCUCGGGAUUGCUUUUGGAACUGUCGAACUAGAGUGUUGGAGAGGUAAGUGGAAUUCCUAGUGUAGCGGUGAAAUGCGUAGAUAUUAGGAGGAACACCAGUGGCGAAGGCGGCUUACUGGACUGUAACUGACGUUGAGGCUCGAAAGCGUGGGGAGCAAACAGGAUUAGAUACCCUGGUA